AACGAACGAGGGAGGAAGGAAGAACACAUGCAAGUCGAACGCCCCGCAAGGGGAGUGGCAGACGGGUGAGUAACACGUGGGAACCUUCCCUAUAGUACGGAAUAGCCCAGGGAAACUUGGAGUAAUACCGUAUACGCCCGAAAGGGGAAAGAAUUUCGCUAUAGGAUGGGCCCGCGUAGGAUUAGCUAGUUGGUGAGGUAAUGGCUCACCAAGGCGACGAUCCUUAGCUGGUUUGAGAGAACGACCAGCCACACUGGGACUGAGACACGGCCCAGACUCCUACGGGAGGCAGCAGUGGGGAAUAUUGGACAAUGGGCGCAAGCCUGAUCCAGCCAUGCCGCGUGAGUGAUGAAGGCCUUAGGGUUGUAAAGCUCUUUUGGCGGGGACGAUAAUGACGGUACCCGCAGAAUAAGUCCCGGCUAACUUCGUG
rnacentral:rRNA from 1 species